ensembl:Y_RNA Y_RNA Y RNA
GGCUGGUCCGAGUGCAGUGCUGUUUACAAUUAAUUGAUCACAGCCAGUUACAGAUUUCUUUGUUCCUUCUCCACUCCCACUGCUUCACUUGACUAGCCUAAA